UAAGAUAAGAAACAUUAUUAUUUAUCGACACAGAAGAAAUUCUAGUGUGCAUUUUUUUAACACCUACAAGGUAUAAUAUUAUAUAGUUUUGGCCCAUCUUAUCACGUAGAAGGUGUUUCACAAAAGAUUUAUAAACGUUUUGAUACAACAUAAAAAGGUUUUCCUUUUUUUAUUUUUCAGUUAUUCUAUACAGCAAUAUAAUAGAAGAUAACACAGGGGAGAUUUCAUUAUAUUUUUUUAUAGC